UUUAUGGAGAGUUUGAUCCUGGCUCAGGAUGAACGCUGGCGGCGUGCCUAAUACAUGCAAGUCGAGCGAACGGACGAGAAGCUUGCUUCUCUGAUGUUAGCGGCGGACGGGUGAGUAACACGUGGAUAACCUACCUAUAAGACUGGGAUAACUUCGGGAAACCGGAGCUAAUACCGGAUAAUAUUUUGAACCGCAUGGUUCAAAAGUGAAAGACGGUCUUGCUGUCACUUAUAGAUGGAUCCGCGCUGCAUUAGCUAGUUGGUAAGGUAACGGCUUACCAAGGCAACGAUACGUAGCCGACCUGAGAGGGUGAUCGGCCACACUGGAACUGAGACACGGUCCAGACUCCUACGGGAGGCAGCAGUAGGGAAUCUUCCGCAAUGGGCGAAAGCCUGACGGAGCAACGCCGCGUGAGUGAUGAAGGUCUUCGGAUCGUAAAACUCUGUUAUUAGGGAAGAACAUAUGUGUAAGUAACUGUGCACAUCUUGACGGUACCUAAUCAGAAAGCCACGGCUAACUACGUGCCAGCAGCCGCGGUAAUACGUAGGUGGCAAGCGUUAUCCGGAAUUAUUGGGCGUAAAGCGCGCGUAGGCGGUUUUUUAAGUCUGAUGUGAAAGCCCACGGCUCAACCGUGGAGGGUCAUUGGAAACUGGAAAACUUGAGUGCAGAAGAGGAAAGUGGAAUUCCAUGUGUAGCGGUGAAAUGCGCAGAGAUAUGGAGGAACACCAGUGGCGAAGGCGACUUUCUGGUCUGUAACUGACGCUGAUGUGCGAAAGCGUGGGGAUCAAACAGGAUUAGAUACCCUGGUAGUCCACGCCGUAAACGAUGAGUGCUAAGUGUUAGGGGGUUUCCGCCCCUUAGUGCUGCAGCUAACGCAUUAAGCACUCCGCCUGGGGAGUACGACCGCAAGGUUGAAACUCAAAGGAAUUGACGGGGACCCGCACAAGCGGUGGAGCAUGUGGUUUAAUUCGAAGCAACGCGAAGAACCUUACCAAAUCUUGACAUCCUUUGACAACUCUA
rnacentral:rRNA from 1 species